rnacentral:lncRNA from 1 species
AAAAUUGUGUUUUGGUGAUGGUGAUGUGUUUGUACAUCUUACUUUACUGAACAUUCUUGCUGCUUAAAAUUAUCUCUAUGUAUAAUGAACUUGGCCCAUUAGUUUCAGUGGAAAAUGUUAGUAAAAAUUUACAAAUUUUAUGAAAAUUGUUAAAAAUUGACUAUAAAGAACAAUAACUCCUAAGGGGGUCAAUUGACCAUUUCAGUCAUGUUGACUUAUUUGUAAAUCUUACUUUGCUGAACAUUAUUGUUGUUUACAGUUUAUCUCUAUCAAUAAUAAUAUUCAAGAUAAU